rnacentral:rRNA from 1 species
ACGGCUCAGUAACACGUAGUCAACAUGCCCAGAGGACGUGGAUAACCUCGGGAAACUGAGGAUAAACCGCGAUAGGCCCAUAAUUACUGGAAUGGGUUAUGGCUUAAACCUAUAUGGCCUCUGGAUUGGACUGCGGCCGAUCAGGCUGUUGGUGAGGUAAUGGCCCACCAAACCUGUUACCGGUACGGGCUCUGAGAGGAGGAGCCCGGAGAUGGGCACUGAGACAAGGGCCCAGGCCCUGUGGGGCGCAGCAGGCGCGAAACCUCUGCAAUAGGCGAAAGCCUGACAGGGUUACUCUGAGUGAUUCCCGCUAAGGGGAUCUUUUGGCACCUCUAAAAAUGGUGCAGAAUAAGGGGUGGGCAAGUCUGGUGUCAGCCGCCGCGGUAAUACCAGCACCCCGAGUGGUCGGGACGAUUAUUGGGCCUAAAGCAUCCGUAGCCGGUCAUGCAAGUCCUCCGUUAAAUCCACCUGCUUAACAGAUGGGCUGCGGAGGAUACUACAAGGCUAGGAGGCGGAAGAGGCAAGCGGUACUCAGUGGGUAGGGGUAAAAUCCUCUGAUCCAUUGAAGACCACCAGUGGCGAAGGCGGCUUGCCAAUACGCGCUCGACGGUGAGGGAUGAAAGCUGGGGGAGCAAACCGGAUUAGAUACCCGGGUAGUCCCAGCUGUAAACGAUGCAGACUCGGUGAUGGGCCGGCUUUAUGCCGGCUCAGUGCCGCAGGGAAGCCGUUAAGUCUGCCGCCUGGGGAGUACGGUCGCAAGACUGAAACUUAGAGGAAUUGGCGGGGGAGCAC